ACCGUGUACGUACAAGCAGUGGGAGCACGCUUAGGCGUGUGACUGCGUACCUUUUGUAUAAUGGGUCAGCGACUUAUAUUCUGUAGCAAGGUUAACCGAAUAGGGGAGCCGAAGGGAAACCGAGUCUUAACUGGGCGUUAAGUUGCAGGGUAUAGACCCGAAACCCGGUGAUCUAGCCAUGGGCAGGUUGAAGGUUGGGUAACACUAACUGGAGGACCGAACCGACUAAUGUUGAAAAAUUAGCGGAUGACUUGUGGCUGGGGGUGAAAGGCCAAUCAAACCGGGAGAUAGCUGGUUCUCCCCGAAAGCUAUUUAGGUAGCGCCUCGUGAAUUCAUCUCCGGGGGUAGAGCACUGUUUCGGCAAGGGGGUCAUCCCGACUUACCAACCCGAUGCAAACUGCGAAUACCGGAGAAUGUUAUCACGGGAGACACACGGCGGGUGCUAACGUCCGUCGUGAAGAGGGAAACAACCCAGACCGCCAGCUAAGGUCCCAAAGUCAUGGUUAAGUGGGAAACGAUGUGGGAAGGCCCAGACAGCCAGGAUGUUGGCUUAGAAGCAGCCAUCAUUUAAAGAAAGCGUAAUAGCUCACUGGUCGAGUCGGCCUGCGCGGAAGAUGUAACGGGGCUAAACCAUGCACCGAAGCUGCGGCAGCGACGCUGAUGCGUUGUUGGGUAGGGGAGCGUUCUGUAAGCCUGUGAAGGUGUGCUGUGAGGUAUGCUGGAGGUAUCAGAAGUGCGAAUGCUGACAUAAGUAACGAUAAAGCGGGUGAAAAGCCCGCUCGCCGGAAGACCAAGGGUUCCUGUCCAACGUUAAUCGGGGCAGGGUGAGUCGACCCCUAAGGCGAGGCCGAAAGGCGUAGUCGAUGGGAAACAGGUUAAUAUUCCUGUACUUGGUGUUACUGCGAAGGGGGGACGGAGAAGGCUAUGUUGGCCGGGCGACGGUUGUCCCGGUUUAAGCGUGUAGGCUGGUUUUCCAGGCAAAUCCGGAAAACUAAGGCUGAGGCGUGAUGACGAGGCACUACGGUGCUGAAGCAACAAAUGCCCUGCUUCCAGGAAAAGCCUCUAAGCAUCAGGUAACAUCAAAUCGUACCCCAAACCGACACAGGUGGUCAGGUAGAGAAUACCAAGGCGCUUGAGAGAACUCGGGUGAAGGAACUAGGCAAAAUGGUGCCGUAACUUCGGGAGAAGGCACGCUGAUAUGUAGGUGAAGUCCCUCGCGGAUGGAGCUGAAAUCAGUCGAAGAUACCAGCUGGCUGCAACUGUUUAUUAAAAACACAGCACUGUGCAAACACGAAAGUGGACGUAUACGGUGUGACGCCUGCCCGGUGCCGGAAGGUUAAUUGAUGGGGUCAGCGCAAGCGAAGCUCUUGAUCGAAGCCCCGGUAAACGGCGGCCGUAACUAUAACGGUCCUAAGGUAGCGAAAUUCCUUGUCGGGUAAGUUCCGACCUGCACGAAUGGCGUAAUGAUGGCCAGGCUGUCUCCACCCGAGACUCAGUGAAAUUGAACUCGCUGUGAAGAUGCAGUGUACCCGCGGCAAGACGGAAAGACCCCGUGAACCUUUACUAUAGCUUGACACUGAACAUUGAGCCUUGAUGUGUAGGAUAGGUGGGAGGCUUUGAAGUGUGGACGCCAGUCUGCAUGGAGCCGACCUUGAAAUACCACCCUUUAAUGUUUGAUGUUCUAACGUUGACCCGUAAUCCGGGUUGCGGACAGUGUCUGGUGGGUAGUUUGACUGGGGCGGUCUCCUCCUAAAGAGUAACGGAGGAGCACGAAGGUUGGCUAAUCCUGGUCGGACAUCAGGAGGUUAGUGCAAUGGCAUAAGCCAGCUUGACUGCGAGCGUGACGGCGCGAGCAGGUGCGAAAGCAGGUCAUAGUGAUCCGGUGGUUCUGAAUGGAAGGGCCAUCGCUCAACGGAUAAAAGGUACUCCGGGGAUAACAGGCUGAUACCGCCCAAGAGUUCAUAUCGACGGCGGUGUUUGGCACCUCGAUGUCGGCUCAUCACAUCCUGGGGCUGAAGUAGGUCCCAAGGGUAUGGCUGUUCGCCAUUUAAAGUGGUACGCGAGCUGGGUUUAGAACGUCGUGAGACAGUUCGGUCCCUAUCUGCCGUGGGCGCUGGAGAACUGAGGGGGGCUGCUCCUAGUACGAGAGGACCGGAGUGGACGCAUCACUGGUGUUCGGGUUGUCAUGCCAAUGGCACUGCCCGGUAGCUAAAUGCGGAAGAGAUAAGUGCUGAAAGCAUCUAAGCACGAAACUUGCCCCGAGAUGAGUUCUCCCUGACUCCUUGAGAGUCCUGAAGGAACGUUGAAGACGACGACGUUGAUAGGCCGGGUGUGUAAGCGCAGCGAUGCGUUGAGCUAACCGGUACUAAUGAACCGUGAGGCUUAACCUUACAACGCCGAAGGUGUUU
rnacentral:rRNA from 1 species